AGAGUUUGAUCCUGGCUCAGGACGAACGCUGGCGGCGUGCUUAACACAUGCAAGUCGAACGGAAAGGCCCUUCGGGGUACUCGAGUGGCGAACGGGUGAGUAACACGUGGGUGAUCUGCCCUGCACUUUGGGAUAAGCCUGGGAAACUGGGUCUAAUACCGAAUAUGACCACGCUCUUCAUGGGGUGUGGUGGAAAGCUUUUGCGGUGUGGGAUGGGCCCGCGGCCUAUCAGCUUGUUGGUGGGGUAAUGGCCUACCAAGGCGACGACGGGUAGCCGGCCUGAGAGGGUGACCGGCCACACUGGGACUGAGAUACGGCCCAGACUCCUACGGGAGGCAGCAGUGGGGAAUAUUGCACAAUGGGCGCAAGCCUGAUGCAGCGACGCCGCGUGAGGGAUGACGGCCUUCGGGUUGUAAACCUCUUUCACCAGGGACGAAGCGCAAGUGACGGUACCUGGAGAAGAAGCACCGGCCAACUACGUGCCAACAGCCGCGGUAAUACGUAGGGUGCGAGCGUUGUCCGGAAUUACUGGGCGUAAAGAGCUCGUAGGUGGUUUGUCGCGUUGUUCGUGAAAACUCACAGCUUAACUGUGGGCGUGCGGGCGAUACGGGCAGACUAGAGUACUGCAGGGGAGACUGGAAUUCCUGGUGUAGCGGUGGAAUGCGCAGAUAUCAGGAGGAACACCGGUGGCGAAGGCGGGUCUCUGGGCAGUAACUGACGCUGAGGAGCGAAAGCGUGGGGAGCGAACAGGAUUAGAUACCCUGGUAGUCCAA
rnacentral:rRNA from 1 species